rnacentral:lncRNA from 1 species
CUCCCACCUCAGUCUCCCAAGUAGCUGGGAUUACAGGCAUCUGCCACCAUGCCCGGCUAAUUUUUUGUAUUUUUAGUAGAGAUGGGGUUUCACCAUAUUGGCCAGGCUGGUGUCGAACUCCUGACCUCAGGUGAUCCACCCGCCUCAGCCUCUCAAAGUGCUGGGCUUACAGGCAUGAGCCACUGCAUCUGGCCCAUAGUUUUAACUUUUAUGUUCGUGUAUGUGAACUAUUUUGAAUUAAAUUUUUUAUCGGAUAUGUUAUAAGGAGAUAGUUUUGAUUUUAAUACACUGAAUAAAAUAAAUAUUCAAGUCCAUAGUGAUAGAAAAUUACAAUCAAAUGGGAGAGAAUGAAUAAAUCUUCCUUAUAGAAGUAUUACAACUAAUAAACAUAGAAGAAAAGUUGUCUUUAGGCAAAUACCCUAGUAAUAAUUUUGUAGACACACAGCAAUAAUUUAGCGUCUUCUGAAGUGUGCUAAAAUUAGUGGGUGAAAAUUCAGAAUGAAAUAGGAUCUUUGCAUCAUCUAAAAUUGUAUUUUGUAUUUCUUACUUACACAGGGAAAUAUAGUACCUUUAUAGUGGAGAAACCCAGCAGACACCACCUUAAUCACGUGGUCAAGGUUAAUAUCACAGCCAGACUGAUGUCAAUGGAGGCCUUUGAAGAGGCUGAAUUUCCACAGCUGCCCAGAUGUCACAAAGCACUUCUGUUUCCCUACCCUGGGUGUCAAAAAGCCUGAGCAGAGAACGUGGACUUUCACCACUACCUGGUAGUGAUGAGACUGUGCCCCAUUUCCCCUCCACCAGAAUUGUGUCAAAGGUGGCCUGCUAAAACAAGAUUUGAGUAAGAUCUAGAGUGUUAUAAUAACCAAAAUGUCCAGGGUACAAUACAUGCCCGAAGAACUAGGAAAAUCUGAACUUUAAUGAAAAAAGACAACAUACAGCAACAUCAAGAUAAAACAGAGGGCCAGGAGCAGUGGCUCCUGCCUAUAAUCCCAGCAUCUUGGGAGGCCAAGGUAGGUGGAUCAUAUGAGGUCAGGAGUUCGGGACCAGCCUGGCCAACAUGGUGAAACCCCAUCUCUAUUAAAAAUACAAAAACUAGCUGGGCGUGGUGGUGGGUGCCUGUAAUCCCAGCUACUAGGGAGGCAGAGGUAGGAGAAUCACUGGAACACGGGAGGUGGAUGUGGCAGUGAGCGAGAUUGCAUCAUUGCACUCCAGCUUGGAUGACAGAGCGAGACUCUGUCUCAAAAAAAAAAAAAAAAAAAAAAACAAACUUAGCAAUUGCAAACAUGCCUGAAACAAAUGAAAAUAGAAAGUCUCAGCAAAGAAAUAGAAGAUAUAAAGAAGAAUCAUAUUGAAAAGUUUAAAAUGAGAAGCACAAUAACCAGAUUCAAGAUUCAGUGAUGGGCUCAAUAGCAACAUGAAGAGGACAAGAGGAAAGAAUCAGCAAAGUUGCAGCUAGAACAAUAGAUAUGGCCAGGCACCAUGGUUCACGCCUGUAAUCCCAGCACUUUGGGAGGCUGAGGUGGGUGGAUCAUGAGGUCAAGAGAUCGAGAACAUCCUGGCCAACAUGGUGUAACCCCGUCUCUACUGAAAAUACAAAAAAUACAAAAAUUAGCUGGGCAUGGUGGUGUGUACCUGUAGUCCCAGCUACUGGGGAGGCUGAGGCAGGAGAAUUGCUUGAACCCAGGAGGCAGAAGUUGCAGCGAGCCAAGAUUGCGCCACUGCUCUCUAGCCUGGAGACAGAGUGGGAUUCCAUCUCAAACAAACAAACAAAAAACCGAAAAAACAAAGAACAAUAGAUAUUCCUUAAUCUGAUUAACAGAGACAAAAUAUGAUGAAAUCAAAUGAACAGAGCCUCAAAGACCUGUGACACUAUAUCCAGAAUCUACAAUGAACUCAAACAAAUUUACAAGAAAAAAACAAACAACCCCAUCAAAAAGUGGGCGAAG